rnacentral:rRNA from 1 species
CUACGGGGUGCAGCAGUGGGGAAUAUUGCACAAUGGGCGAAAGCCUGAUGCAGCAACGCCGCGUGAGUGAUGAAGGUUUUCGGAUCGUAAAACUCUGUUCUAAGGGAAGAUAAUGACGGUACCUUAGGAGAAAGCCCCGGCUAACUACGUGCCAGCAGCCGCGGUAAUACGUAGGGGGCAAGCGUUAUCCGGAAUUACUGGGCGUAAAGGGUGCGUAGGUGGCCUGACAAGUCAGGGGUCAAAGGCAACGGCUCAACCGUUGUAAGCCCUUGAAACUGUCGGGCUUGAGUUCAGGAGAGGAAAGCGGAAUUCCAAGUGUAGCGGUGAAAUGCGUAGAUAUUUGGAGGAACACCAGUGGCGAAGGCGGCUUUCUGGACUGAUACUGACACUGAGGCACGAAAGCGUGGGGAGCAAACAGGAUUAGAUACCCCUGUAGUC